rnacentral:rRNA from 1 species
AUUGAACGCUGGCGGCAGGCCUAACACAUGCAAGUCGAACGAGUGGCGGACGGGUGAGUAAUGUCUGGGAAACUGCCUGAUGGAGGGGGAUAACUACUGGAAACGGUAGCUAAUACCGCAUACCAUCGGAUGUGCCCAGAUGGGAUUAGCUAGUAGGUGGGGUAAAGGCUCACCUAGGCGACGAUCCCUAGCUGGUCUGAGAGGAUGACAAGCCACACUGGAAUUGAGAUAAGGUCAAGAACCCUACGGGAGGGAGCAGUGGGGAAUAGUGCACAAUGGGCGCAAGCCUGAUGCAGCCAUGCCGCGUGUAUGAAGAAGGCCUUCGGGUUGUAAAGUACUUUCAGCGGGGAGGCGUUACCCGAAGAAGAAGCACCGGCUAACUCCGUGCCAGCAGCCGCGGUAAUUC